rnacentral:rRNA from 1 species
UGGGGAAUUUUGGACAAUGGGGGAAACCCUGAUCCAGCCAUCCCGCGUGUGCGAUGAAGGCCUUCGGGUUGUAAAGCACUUUUGGCAGGAAAGAAACGUCAUGGGUUAAUACCCCGUGAAACUGACGGUCCCUGCAGAAUAAGCACCGGCUAACUACGUGCCAGCAGCCGCGGUAAUACGUAGGGUGCAAGCGUUAAUCGGAAUUACUGGGCGUAAAGCGUGCGCAGGCGGUUCGGAAAGAAAGAUGUGAAAUCCCAGAGCUCAACUUUGGAACUGCAUUUUUAACUACCGGGCUAGAGUGUGUCAGAGGGAGGUGGAAUUCCGCGUGUAGCAGUGAAAUGCGUAGAUAUGCGGAGGAACACCGAUGGCGAAGGUAGCCUCCUGGGAUAACACUGACGCUCAUGCACGAAAGCGUGGGGAGCAAACAGG